rnacentral:rRNA from 1 species
UACGUAGGGUGCAAGCGUUGUCCGGAAUUAUUGGGCGUAAAGAGCUCGUAGGCGGUCUGUCGCGUCGAAUGUGAAAACCCGGGGCUCAACCCCGGGCCUGCAUUCGAUACGGGCAGACUAGAGUUCGGUAGGGGAGUCUGGAAUUCCUGGUGUAGCGGUGAAAUGCGCAGAUAUCAGGAAGAACACCAAUGGCGAAGGCAGCUCUCUGGGACGGUACUGACGCUGAGACGCGAAGGCGUGGGGAGCGAACAGG